CAAAAACAUCACUAGAAGAUAAAGACUUUUAGCAAUACCUGCCCAGUGCGAAAUAUUACUGUAAACGGCCGCCCUAGCGUGAGGGUGCUAAGGUAGCGAAAUUCCUUGCCUUUUGAUUGUAGGCCUGCAUGAAUGGUUUAACGAGGGUUUAACUGUCUCUAAAUUUUUUAUUGAAAUUGUACUGAAGGUGAAGAUACCUUCAUUAAAAAGUUAGACAAAAAGACCCCGUGCAACUUUGAAAAUUGACUUUAUUCAGGAGUAAAAGAUUUUUAGGUGGGGCGCCUAGAAAGUAAGCCUAACCUUUCUGAGUAACUAACUCUUUCCGGAUUUGACCCGAUUAUAUUCGAUCAUAGGAGAAGUUACGCCGGGGAUAACAGGCUAAUCCUUUAGUAGAGUUCGUAUUGGCUAAAGGGAUUGGCACCUCGAUGUUGAAUCAGGGAUGAUAGCUUCAAGGCGUAGAGGCUUU
rnacentral:rRNA from 1 species